rnacentral:lncRNA from 1 species
AUAAAUUGUUCUGGCUUAUUGGUGCGUGCAUAAAAUUGCAGGACGAUGCUGAAGCUGAAAUGAGGAGGCUAAAGCUUGAGCUACAGAAAACGAUGGAAAUGUAUAGCACGGCCUGCAAAGAAGCAUUGACAGCAAAGCAAAAGGUUAACAGUCAUAUUCUAGAGAUAUAUUUUAGUACAAAUAUGCUUUAUUAUCUGUAAUGGAUAAAUUUUGUAUUAGCAUAUAUAUAUAUUGAUGAUAUCUAUGUACCCAGGCAGUGGAGCUGCAGCGUUGGCGGAUGGAGGAGGAGGCUCGAAUUGCUGAGGAAUCAGCGAUGGACUCUCCGGAUAGUGAGAAAACUAAGUCCAUGGAAGCCGUGGAGAGUUCGGAAGA